rnacentral:snRNA from 1 species
CUGUUUUGGCAGCACAUAUAAUAAAAUUGGAAUGCUACAGAAGACUAAUAUGGACCCUCCCCAAGGAAGACAUCCAAUUCAUGAAGCAGUCCAUAUUUUA